rnacentral:lncRNA from 1 species
CUUCCUCUGGCUCCGCCGACCGACUGUCCCACUGCCAAACUCCUAAUUCGUACUUCCGCUACCGCCAUCUCUGCUAGCUCCACCUCCACCACUUCCGCUAGCUCCUCAGCAACCUCCAAGUUUUCUCUGCUGACUGUCCUCAGUCCUAACUCUGUCGCAAGUGCAGCUCCAAUGAGCGGGGGCACUCGGGUCCCUUACCUGAGAAUCGAAAACACCAGAUUCAUCCCAGUAUGCACGGAGCCAGAAAGGCAACCCUCUUGAAACCAUGGGAAGUCCCAAACUCCCAAUUCCCCGUUACUGCCAUAUCUGCUUCUACUAGCUCCAUCUCCAGUUUCUCCACCGCUUCCACCAGCUCCACAUAGGCAACCCAACCAGCUUUUCGGAACCCAACCACUUCAACGAGGCUGACUGACGAACCCAACCAGCUUCUCAGUGAAUUCCUAUCUCCGGAUUUUUUCUAAACUUUUCCAGCGAGCAAGUGCGCAACCCACCGAGCUUUUGUGCUUUGAGCGUGCAAUGCGCAGAUUGGUAAGCUCUUUUUCC